rnacentral:rRNA from 1 species
UGGGGAAUAUUGGACAAUGGGCGAAAGCCUGAUCCAGCCAUGCCGCGUGUGUGAAGAAGGUCUUCGGAUUGUAAAGCACUUUAAGUUGUGAGGAAGGGCAUUAACCUAAUACGUUAGUGUUUUGACGUUACCGACAGAAUAAGCACCGGCUAACUCUGUGCCAGCAGCCGCGGUAAUACAGAGGGUGCAAGCGUUAAUCGGAAUUACUGGGCGUAAAGCGCGCGUAGGUGGUUUGUUAAGUUGGAUGUGAAAUCCCCGGGCUCAACCUGGGAACUGCAUUCAAAACUGACUGACUAGAGUAUGGUAGAGGGUGGUGGAAUUUCCUGUGUAGCGGUGAAAUGCGUAGAUAUAGGAAGGAACACCAGUGGCGAAGGCGACCACCUGGACUAAUACUGACACUGAGGUGCGAAAGCGUGGGGAGCAAACA